AUUGAACGCUGGCGGCAGGCCUAACACAUGCAAGUCGAACGAGUGGCGGACGGGUGAGUAAUGUCUGGGAAACUGCCUGAUGGAGGGGGAUAACUACUGGAAACGGUAGCUAAUACCGCAUACCAUCGGAUGUGCCCAGAUGGGAUUAGCUAGUAGGUGGGGUAAAGGCUCACCUGGGCGACGAUCCCCAGCUGGUCUGCGAGGAUGACAAGCCAAACUGGAACUAAGACACGGCCCAGAAUCCUACGGGGGGCAGCAGAGGGGAAUAUUGGACAAUGGGCGAAAGCCGGAUCCAGCCAGUCCGCGUGUGUGAAGAAGGUCUUCGGAUUGUAAAGCACUUUAAGUUGGGAUGCGUUACCAACAGAAUAAGCACCGGCUAACGUCGUGCCAGCAGCCGCGGUAAUUC
rnacentral:rRNA from 1 species